rnacentral:sRNA from 1 species
GAACUCGAUUCCGAUUACCGCAGGUCUCUCGGACUAGUUGAGAGGACGGGAACUGGGCCAUGGGAUGUGUUGAAUCUGUGGAUAGCUUCUACUAUCUCUGGACUAUCCGUCAUAGGGGGACGUGUCCGCAAGGCCAGAGGAGGAUGUCACCUGAAUAUCAUUGCGUUGGACGGCUCGGCCGGACUUGGGAGGACGCCCACGUGGGCGUCCUCCCCCACGCCUGUUUGCGGUUUCUUGGGGUAAGUAGUCCUCAUCUUCCAGUUUACGCGUUCGGGGCGAUGUUUUUCUCCCCUUAGACUGCGGUCCGGAUCGCCCACCACGAUUACUACCUCUGCCCCGACGCGGGCGGCUCGAACAAUCAGCCCGCGGUCUGGGGGGCGACGGAGAUGGUGACCUAGAUGAUGAAGGUGAAGACGGGACGAUUAGAGAAGAUGAUGACGGUGAGGAUGAUGAAGAGGAGGAAGAUGAAGAGGAUGGCGAUCUGGAAACAUGUCCGACGUUCCGUCUCAGGGCCGCGUGGUCUGGGGGAACUUCGUGGAGAUGAGGUUGUGUGAGGCAGUUCGCUCAUUCUGCCAGAAGAUGGAGUAGUCAGCCGUGGACCUGAGGUGAGUGGUGCAGGCAUUUAAAGUCUUUCCAUGCCAAACCGGUCCAGGGAUUGGUGCUUCCAUCUCGGCCGUCCACCCAGGUAAUCUCGGGCAAUGGGAACAGCAAUCACUUUCGAAUUCCUUCAGCCCAAAGCACAACCGCGGGUCCACCGGGACUCUCCGACAUAGCUCGAGCCAAAAGGGAAUUGUAGCCCAGGAAGGGCGGUGCAUAUCUGCAAGUAAACAAAACUCGGGGUUCUGUACGAUUGGCCGGGGUCUUACAUGCUCGCCGAAUUGGAUUUGAGAAUCAAUCUUCCGACGGGUCUCCUGACUUGAACAGGGGAAAGGGGGAGGGGGAGUGUGUUAUCUUGUCGCGAACCAAUAA